UGAAGUUUUCUAGAUUAAGUGUUCAUGACACAAUUCAUCAAAAGUUUCUUUUCAAACAAUUUUCUGAGAGUUUUUGCUUCAUUUGUUCUGCACUUCAUUGAAUUCACCAAGUCUAAUGCUGCUAAGAGUAAUGUCUACAGAAAUUACAUUUUUCUUGAACUCUUUUUAUGGAUUAAACAGCAUUAGUUUCAGGUAUUGGUUUUCAUAACCAUUAGUUGGACUAAAUACAUUCUGCUUUAAGUCAUGUUAAGAUUGUGGGAAUACUGGCAGAUUUGUUGCUUUAGAUUAGUGGGAGGCCUAAAUUGAUAUUCUGAAUCAAUAAAUUUUUAAUGCUGCAAACCUUAUUGAACUUUAAAUCAGUUAACAUUAACUUUUGAAGUUCAUAUUUUAGGAUUUUGUUGGUUCUGACUUAUGUAGCAGUGUUGAAUUUCCUGCAUUCAUUUCAUCUUACUCGAGUGAGCUACUUCAGAUUUGUAGCGUUAUUUGCAGAUAUAUUACAACAUGCUGAUGAAACUUGUGUUGAGCUUCUUUAGAAGCCUUAAGUUGCAGAUUCUUUGGUUAGAAUAAUCCUUAUGAAUGGAUCAUGCAUUGUUUACUUGCAUUACAGAUUAUUAUUGUAAGUAAACUGAAUUUUCAUGUACAGUAGAUUGAUAGAUGGCUCCUGUGUUCUGUGAAAGGUUAUAUUAUAAUUACAGGGUGUGAUGCUUAGGUAGGUGUUUGAUUUCCUGCAGUUUAAUAUGAUCAAUCAAUCAAUCAUAGAAUGACUGAGUUUAGGGAUGGUUUUAUGAUUCUAGCUUGUCUGUGUGCAUGCUUCAUAAUUACUACAUUUGAUACAGUAGCAUUCUUGUUGUUUGAACAUUGAUAGUCCAAGUGGAAGCGAGACUGUAAGAAUAAUGUGGACUUAUCAAUGUUCACUAUGAACCACAACAUCUUAGCUACCUGUUUGCAGAAUAAGUAAUUAGAAUGCUUGAAUUGUCAAUUCCAUGACCUUUUUACUAUAUAAUUAGUACUGAAUAUGGUAUCUAUUAUAGAGUAAUCCUAAAUGUACAUGAAUAGUUUGGCAAAUGUCUAUAUUGAUUAGGACUACGAAUCCUUUAUGGGAGGUACUUAGUCUUGUAAUGCCUAUAUAUAUAGUCUUAGAUCCCUGUUCUUUCAAUCAUUACAUUCGUACUCUGCUCCAUAAGAGAGCAUACAGGAUUGAACAGAGGAGAAGAUCUAUCAUGACUAAACUAAGUUAUUAUAUAUAUAAUAUAUAUUUUUUUCAUCUUAUCAUUAUGCACAUGCUAGUUGUAUUUACAUAUUGUGUUCUUAAGAUUGAGUACUAUCACAUAUUUGCAACUACAUAGAAUUCACUAGAUGUAUAAUUACAUGAUCAUUCUGGACUAAUCUAGACUAAGUACUUCAGAACAUGUUCUAGACUAAUUUAGAUAACUAGAGAAUGAGUUAGAAAGCUCCAAUGUGCAUUACUGUUUCAAUAGCAAUAAACAAAGCUCGAGAAAGGACCUUAAACUAGUAGCUCUUAUAACCUUCCCCCUUCUUGGAGCAGUUGCACUUCUAUUACUCUUUCUAUUUGUAUUUGUACUAAAAAGAAAAGAGAAGCAUCCACAUCUAUAAGAAAGCAACAUGGAGGAGAUCUUUGAUUAUGUAUUUAGGUUAAAUGGAAAAACCAUGUAUGAGGAAAUCAUAAAUGCAACCGAAGAUUUUGAUUCUUUGUAUUGCAUUGGAAAGGGAGGACAUGGACAUGUCUAUUGAGCAAGUUUGUCAUCUGCCAACACAGUAGCUGUGAAGAAACUCCAUCUGCUACGAAGUGAUGACAAGAAUUUUCAAAAGGAAUUCUUGAAUGAAGUCAGGGAACUAACUGAGAUGCGACACCAUAACAUUGUGAAGCUCUUAGGUUUUUGUUCGCAUAGAAGACACUCGUUUUUGGUUUAUAAAUAUCUAGAAAGGGGUAGGUUGGCCACAAUGCUGGGCAAAGAUGAUGAAGCUGGGGAGAUUUUUUUUUUUAAUAUUUUUUAUUUUUUUUUUAAUUUUUUUUUUAGAAACGAUGAAGCGGUGUUGGAGUGGAGUAAAGGGUUAAAUAUCAGCAGAGGUGUUGCUCAUGCCUUGUGUGACAUGCACCACGAUUGCUUGCCACCAAUUGUGCAUCAAGACAUAUCGAGCAAGAACAUUUUGCUGGAUUCUGAAUGAGUCCUAGUGGUUCAGAUUUUGGCACAGCUAAGUUCUUAAAUUUAGAGUCAGCAAAUUGGAAUGUCCUUGCAGGCACAUAUGGUUAUAUAGCACCAGUCCUUGCUUAUACAAUGCAAGUGAAUGAGAAAUGUGAUGUCUACAGCUUUGGACUUUGGAGUUGUAACACUGGAAAUAAUUAUGGGAAGGCAUCCAGGAGAUCUUCUCUUACCUUUACUAUCAGGAUUGUCAUCAUCACCUGUGUUACCAGCCCAUCAAAUGCAAAUUGUGGACGUUUUGGACCAACGUAUCACUGCUCCUACAGAUGAAGUUGCAGGGAAGGUACCCUUUCUUGUGAAGACAGCAUUUUCAUGCUUGAAUUCCAGUCCUGAAUGUCGUCCAACAAUGAAACAAGUUUCUCAACAACUAGAAACUGAGAGGCUGCAUUUGUCAAAGCCAUUGUAUCUGAGAUGUUGCUUACCCUCAGUGGUUACCUGUGGUGAAUUGCUUGCCCUCAAUGGUUUGACUACCUGAGAUGUUGAGAAUUAGGGAAUGUACUUCUUUCAUUAUUGGAAUUAUACUCCACAUACUUGUGUACUAUGGCUCGUAUAGGAUAGAACAACGUACUACGACUAAUAGA